GAUGAACGCUGGCGGCGUGCUUAAUACAUGCAAGUCGAGCGGACAGACGCUGCGCUUGCUGCUUUGUCGAUAGCGGCGCACGGGUGUAUAACACGUGUAUCAUCUCCUUAUCAUUCUGGUAUCUUCACGAGACACCGGCGCAUAUACGGUAUAAUAUACUGCUGCGCGGGGUUGGUUGGAGAGUGUCGGCGUUUGUGUCUCUUAUCGCGGGUUCCGCGCCGCAUGAUAUAGUUGUUGAGGUAACGGCUUACCAAGGCAACGAUGCGUAGCCGAGCUGAGAGGGGGAUCGGCCACACUGGAACUGAGACACGGCCCAGACUCCUACGGGAGGCAGCAGUAGGGAAUCUUCCGCAAUGGGCGAAAGCCUGACGGAGCAACGCCGCGUGAGUGAUGAAGGUCUUCGGAUCGUAAAACUCUGUUAUUAGGGAAGAACAAAUGUGUAAGUAACUAUGCACGUCUUGACGGUACCUAAUCAGAAAGCCACGGCUAACUACGUG
rnacentral:rRNA from 1 species